rnacentral:tRNA from 1 species
GGGAAUGUGGCUUAGUGGUAGAGUGCUUGCCUAGCAUGCAUGAAGCCCUAGGUUCGAUUCCUCUUUAUUA